AGAUUCAUUAAUGUAGCAUUACAUCCAGUAUCUUCUUUGUAUAACAGCAAUAUAUCAGACCAGAGAUAUCAGACUGAGCCACGCCUGGAGGUACAAUGGAGGACUGAAAAGGUCUAAAUGAGUGUUUUGUUCAUUUGUGUCACUUAAGCGACAGAGUGCCAAAAAA